GGCAGACAGGGACGUCCAGCAGGCAGAGCUGGAGGCUGAGAGGGACUCAGACGCACUGGUCUCGUCACACCGAUGGCUUUGGUGGCUUUGGACGUGUCUGGGGUGAGACUCUCAUCAGCUUCCAACACGGAGACAGGGCCUUACUCUCCAAGUUGUGCCGACCCGGCUGCUCAUCCCAGGGGAGCUCAGGGGACGUGCCUCAGGACUUUACAGACGCUUCUGAGCAGGUGAAGCUGUCUAUUAGUAACCCCUGCGUGUUCAGGAAAUUCAGAGUGGUGAGAGAAUAUGUACAGAUUUAAAUCAUAACUUUUGACUAGAUGUCUUCUUAUUCUCUAUCUCGACAUCAAAAAGUUCAGCAAGAGGAGUAAGGGGCUGCCAGGGGGUUCCACGGUUCACACGGAUGCUAUCUUCAAAGGAGGGCUGGUCUGUGAACUGGGAAUGAAGGAUGACAGCCGUGCAUGAUGCUCAAACGCUCGGCUGGAGAACCACAUUCAGGAACUUCCAGCCGUCGGUUAUGCGUGUCACAGGACAGGGAAUCCACUCACCAGACCGUGGGGUGAUGCCGGCAUGGAUUCUGCCCUUGCUGAUCCUGCCACACCCAACCCACCCGUGCACAGUAGCAAGGUGCACUCUGCCAGGAGAGCGCCCUCCUCCAACAGUUCUCUUGACAAGUACAUAAGUGAGCCAUGCCAACAGGUUAUCAUUGAAAUAUUAUUUACAUUUCCUAAGUAAAUGCACUUUCAUCUGAGUCCCUGCUCUUGGAAACUGUGAUUCCAAUGGAUAAAUUUCAGUACCUUAAAGACUGUCCUUUAUUAACCCCCGAAAACUGCCGACUAUUGUUUCCAGACUUUAACAUUUAUUUAAGACUUCAUUUUACCAAGGAGUUUUGAGAGCUUUCCAUAAGUAUGAAUGGAAAGUUUACCAGACAGCCCUUUAAAACUUAAAAUGGGUUUUCAAGCGUUCUGGGCAUCAUCUAGCUAGUUGGUUGAUCCGUUUGCAGUUCCCUGCUGACAUGCCCAGAACAGCAGCCGGCCUUCAUCUCAGUUGUCCCUGGGCUGGUUCUCUGAGACUUCACCUUUGCUUCAGUUGAAGAUGCGGUUGGCUUUAUUUCUGGAAUGACCAUCUAGAUCAGUUUAUCAAAAUCCUUUUCCCAAAGUGAAUCUUGUUUUUCUGGUGCAUCGGUGUUAGGAAUGGCAGGCAUUUGGAAAAAUACUUCUGCUGAGUUGUAUGGGGUUAAGUCAGGUCACAACACAGUCUUCACGUCAUGCAUGCGGCAUUUGCAAGACUGGGAGGAGACUUGUGAUCUGCCGGAGACGUCGGUGAUAAUUUCCUCCUUCAUUUACUUGUUUUUUCUGUAUUGUAAUCUUUUGUAAAAUGAGCAGAAGUCACAUUGAACACAGAAAUAAAUCUUUGCUUUCUUUUCAGAAUGCAUUCCAGGGAGGUCAGAAACUGUGACCUCCUCUACCAGCUGCUACCUCCCCUACCCAAGUCCCAGUGGGACCCUCCCAUGGGAGGAUUGGGCUCCUGGCCAGCCACCUGUUUGAAGCUCUAAGAAGAAUGGUCCUACCUGUGGCUCAUGGGUUGUGCCCCACCCUUCCUUGGAGCUGGAUUUUUGUACCCCAAGGGCCACCCUGGAUGGCUGCUGAAGCCCUGCCUUGUUUUUGAGCAUCGUUGGGAAGCCAGGUGUGACGCCCACCUGAGCACUGACCCAGACAACUGCGGCCAGUGUGAGCGGGCUCUCAGAACAAAUUGAAACAUCCUGAGAUCUGACCAUGGCCUUCUUGACUCAUCAUUCCUCAGGCCUUUGUCCUAUGAGCAAAUCCACCAUGAGAUGCAGGCUCUACCGCGGGCCCAGGCCUGGCCUGUGAAGUCCAGUGGCUUCCCUGAGGGCACAGCCCUGCAGCUCUGGCCCAUUUUAAUUAACUAAUCUUAUGUGCAUGCACUUAGAGAACAACAUAAUAACACGCACCCAUCUCCAGACACAGCAGCUCUCGGUAUUUUGCCGAACUUGUUUUGUGUGCAGCAUGGUUUCCCUAGGUGCAAAGCUCAUCCUUGACUGUGUGCUUUCUUGCUUUAGUAUCUGUCUCUGGAGAUUGAGCAAGGGGAGGUCUCUGAGCAUCUCCUGCUGACCUUUGUUGUCCCAUCAGUCCAGUGUGAUUGCCAGCCCAGCGGGAGAUUUCUAACAUGGUAGCAAGGAUGUGUCCCCUUCCAGCCCCUGCAGGUGUUCAGGGAAUCCCAAUGAUCCCCCUUAUUUGGAUGGUCAGUGUUUCUUUCCCAGACUCAUGUAAUCCCAGCGAUUUCCUGGUAGGGAGACCAGCAAUGCUGGUCCCAGCAACCUGGCUGCUUGUCAUCACGAUUAAUGCUACGUAAACCAAACUGUCUUCUUCUUCUUCUUUUUUUUCUUUUAAAUGGCUUUCUUUAUAUUUAUUUAUUUUUAUGUGGUGCUGAGGAUGGAACCCAGUGUCUCUGACUUGCUAGGCAAGUGCUCUACCACAGAGCCACAACCCCAGCCCACCAAACUGUCUUUAAUUUCAGUGUUCCUUACAAAAAUCCAAGGUUAAUUAUUGACUUGUGUUCAGACACUGGCCUCGGGAACAUGAACCAGUUAUUAAGAAUGAAUGCUAAAGAACCUCAACUGUCAAAGCUCAGGAGAAAACAAAGUCCAGGGUUUUGCAGCUGGUCUUGGAACUCAAACUGUUGGCUGAGGGUUACUGUCCAAACUGGCCAAGGAGGUCUUCACCACCUGCUGGUUCUCUCUCUAGUGUUCAGUUUAAGUACCAAUCUGGGGGCAAAAUUAAGUAAGACAGAGAAAAUGACCAUUUUGCUUGCCAUGUGAAAUGAAAAUUUAUUCUGCCUUGUAUUUGCUAUCAAUUGCCACAUUAAUGUUGUACAACAAAAUAACUCCCCAAACUUCAACACACAACAAGAGCUAUCUUUUCUCAUGUGCAUCCAGUCAAGUUGGGGUUAACCAGGUGGAUCUGAAGACACAUCUGAGGGGGCCUGGCUGCUGCUGACCCAGGCUGGCCCUGGUUUGGGAGAGCAGGGCAGUGUAACUGUACGCUGUGUGCCUCCUGUCCCCUGGCAAGCUACUCCAGACAGGUUCUCGUAGUAGUGGUGCAAGUGUCGGAGGGCAACGGGAGCAUGCAAGGCAGCACAGGCUCUGAUUUGAAGCUGGAAUUCUGCCCUGGCUGCCUGCACCCUUAGUCAGAAUGUAGGCUGGCACUCACCCUCAGUGGGUGGGAGGAGGCUGCAAAUAACCUGCAAAAGCAGGAAAAGAUUGGGACCAUGAAUGCAGUCAACUUAUCACACCUCGAUCCAGUAAAGUCAACCUCAGACUUGAAAACUGAUUUUUUUUUCUCCUAGGAAGGUAGCUGGGGGCUUUCUUUGUUGUUGGGGAGAACAUCAGCUUUGAAGUCUGACAUCUGGAGUUCAAAGGCAAGGUCCCCCAGGUCCUGGCUGGUGGCCUUCCACGUAUUACAGACUUCCUGGGCCUGUGUCCAUGCAUGGGAAGCAGGGCAGCUGUCCACUCUUGACAUGCUGCUUUGAGGGGUCGAAUAGGGGGUGCUUGGUUAGGAAUGACAUGCUGUGGUUGCAAGGUCUUCUCUCAGGGGACAGUGUUCCUCCUAGUUCAGACAGGGGGACUGGCUGCAGCCCAGAUAGAUUCAGAGUAUAAACUGGAGAAUGCGGUUUCCCACAGGGUACUAAGUGCUCUACGUGGCAUCUCCUUAACCAAGGUCAAAGUGACUGCCCCCUUCCUGAAAGAAGCAGAGGAAUCUGAUACACAAGUUGAGGCUGCAUCGGGGUGAAUGCAGAAAAAAUGGUGGCAUGUUCUUCACCCUUAAAAAGAGAAGGAAAUCCUGCCAUUUGUGACAACAGAGGGGGACCUGGGGGACAUCACGCUAAAUGACGUAAUGCGGGGCACAGAAGACAAGCCCUGCUUGAGUGCUCUGCUCUGUAGAGUCCUACCAACUUAGGCAAUCACUCAGGUAAACAAUUCCUUUCAUAUAUGAAAAGGUUCUUAAAUUUUUUGUAUUUGUGUGUCCAUUUUUGUGUGUUUCAUCUUUUAAUUGACUUAAUCUUUUCCCAAUAUAACUUCCUAUGACCCAGCAAUCCCACUACUGCGUGCAUUCAAAGGAAAUGAAGCCAAGAUCUGAAGAGAAGUCCGCGCCAGUCCACGGCAACAGUUUUCUCAACAGCCAGGAAGGGAAAGCACCCGGUGAGUGGAGAGAGGAAAUGUGAAAGGCUGCCCUGGAAGGCUGGUCGGACACGAGAGAGCGUGGAGCUCUGCCAUUGACCACAACCUGAGCCAGGCACAGAAAGAAGGAGCGCACGAUCUCACCCAGGUGUGGGCCUGCAGAGUGGACAUCAUGGAGAUAGACAGCGGAGCGCUGGUGGCCAGAGGCUGGGAUGCUGGGGGAGAUGAGAAGGUGGUGGCUGAAGAAAUGACCCAGGUGGACAGAAGGAAUCAAUGUGGUGACUGUGGGGAGACAGGUAGCAUCCUAGGAGGACGUGAAGAGAGUGAGGAGGUUCUGCGCCCGCUCCAUGAAGGUGACAGCCACCACACUGCGUAGAUAUUUCAAAGCAUGUUGUGCACAAUGAAAACACACAGUGUCGUCUAUCCAUUUAAACAUAAAUAAGCGCUCCACUGGGCUGGAGCUGGAGUGAAGUCAAUUGUAACUUUCCUUCUUGGUCACACCCUUGUCAGGUUUGGGGAUCAAGGUUAUGCUGGACCCAUAAAUGAGUUAAAAAGUGUUUCUCUCUUUUUUUUUUUUUACAUUUUCUGGCAUAAUUUGCAGAAAAGCAGUAUUUUUUUUCCCUGAAGAAUUUAGAAGAAUUUAUUGGUGAUAUCAUUUGGGAGCAGAGUUUUGUUUUGUUUUUGUAGAUAACUUAAAAUUUAUGGAUUACAUUUUUUAAGUGACCAGAAAAAAUACUUCCUAUUGAUUUGGGUCUGGGUUUUCUCCUGGAAAUUUGUCAACUUUUUCCUUGGUUUUUAACUACGUUGGCAUGACAUUGUUUUAUGACGUUCUGUUGAGAUGCUCUUAAUGUCUUGAGAAACUUUGGUGCUCUUCUCCACUUCCUGAUGUGUGUGUGAGUCUUCCUCUGGCCUCUGUUUUCUUCUGGAAUGCUGUAGGCCAGGUUCAUCAAUUUCAUCAAUAUUUUCAAAGGUUUAGCUUUGUCUUUAUCAAUUCUCUCUUCAUUUAUUUUUAUUUGGCUAAUUCCUGCACUUUUUAUUACUUCCUUCUUUUAUUUUUUCUUUGUUUAGUUUGCUAUUCUUUUUCAGAACUUCUUGAGAUGGAUCUCUAGCAUUGAUCUUAAACAUUUCUUUUUUUUUUAAAGAGAGAAAGAGGGAGAGAGAGAGAGAAUUUUAAUAUUUAUUUAUUUAUUUUUUAGUUUUCGGCAGACACAACAUCUUUGUUUGUAUGUGGUGCUGAGGAUUGAACCCGGGCCGCACGCAUGCCAGGCGAGCGCGCUACCGCUUGAGCCACAUCCCCAGCCCACAUUUCUUAUUUUUUAAUACAUACAUUUAAGGCUGUAAGUUUCUCAAACUAAGCAUAUCCUAAGUCGUCACGUGUGAGUUUUGAUCUGUGGCAUUUUAAAGACCAUUUGAUUUAAAACAUUUCCUGAUUGAGAUUAUAACUUCUUUUUUUUCCACUGGUGGAUUGUCUAGAAGUAUUUGCUCAUUUCACAAGCAGGUAGGAGUCCAGUUCUCUCUCCAUUCCUGUUUUUCUAGCCUGAAUGCACCAUGGACAGAAAACAUACCAGAUGAGUUAAUUUGUUUGAAAAUUGGAACCUCAUUGGAACCUCACUUUGUGGACUCUGUCAAUGUGGUGACAGGUUCCACAUGAACUUGAAAAGAAUAUGCAUUCUGCAGUUGCUGGGAGGAGAGAGGUCCAGUUUUUGGUUAGCCUUGCCCUGUCCAUCCCCUUCCUGAUCCGGAGAUGGUGCUCGAUUGUCUCCUGGCUGCUGAGCAAGGUGUUCCAUGGUGACCGUGCACAUCUCCUUUAGUCUGUCAAGUUUUGCUUAAUAUUUCAAAUCCACACUCUUUGGCAUAUUCAAACUUAAAAGUCUAUGUUUUCCUGGCAGGCUCAACUUUCCUCAUUUGAAAGAGCUCCACUGUCCUCUAGUAACACUCUCGUGGUGUAAAGGCCACGUGUAAGUGGCUGUGGGUAUUGGCAUGUCCUUGGCUUCCAAAAGACAACACAUCACCUGUGCUGGUCACGGGGUUGAGAUGGUUCAUUGCUGGACGUCAGUCCUCACCUAAGCCAGUCAGUCUCUGGUCUAUUCACCUUUGCUGCUAGGGUGCCGUACUCAGGAUCCCAGUUGAGAGCCUGAUGUGCUCCUUCCAUGUUGGACGCAGAACACUGACUUUUUUAAAUAUCUAUUUUUUAGUUGUAGUUAGUUAGACACAAUAUGUUUAUUUUAUUUCUAUGUGGUCCUGAGAUGGAACCCAGGGCCUCACAUGUGCUAGGUGACCGCUCUACUGCUGAGCCCCAGCCCCAGCCCCAGAACACCGAUUUUUGUCUCCUGCUCAGGUGGAACAUCUAAAGGCUCUGCUAGGAUCGCCAGCGCUCAGCCUUGCUGGAGAGGAGAGCUCGGCCUUUGGAAGAGAUUGGUGCACCCCAGAUGCUGGGCUGGCCUCCCAGGCGCAGAACUUCCGCCUCCUCUGGAGCCUGCCAUCUAAUUUGACCAGUCAGGCUGGAUCACUGGAAAAGGCUGGCUCACAUCCAAUCCCACUUUUCCUCUUUUAGUUGUUUAAAUUUACAUUUCUUUUUUUCUGAUUCCAACUAAAAAAUUGAGGCAAUCGUGCUUCUGAGCUUCGGGGUUUUUCUGCUCGUAUUUGCUUGUUCAUGUUCUUUUGUCACUGUGUCCUAUAUUGUUACAUUUUCCAAGUGAAUUUAGAAGCAUUUCUUACAUAUUCUACGUGUGCCUCUCUUGACAGUUUCAGCCAUUGCAAUUUUGUCAUCUAACAAUUUGGUGCAUUUUAUCCUUCCUUGAAUACAAAUCCUUUGUUUUAAUGUGAUGAAUUUUAUCGAUUAGUUUCUGCUCUUGGAGUCUUGUUUCAGAGGGACAUUCCUGACCCAUCUCAUGAGAUAUUAUGCUAGUUUCUUCUAUUAACUUUAUAAUUUUAUCUGUCACAUUUAAAAAAAUCUGAAUAGAGUCUGCUCUCACACGUGGUGUGGCAUAGACAUCUAAUUUAAUUUUUUUCCUGGAGUGAGCCACUUUUCCCAAGAUCAUCUGCUAAAUUUAUCCUCCCCUGUGCUGUGUGUCACUGAUAUGCAUUACAUUCCCACAAUGCAUGUUUCCCCUGCGCUCUCUGUUCUGCCCACUCAUCUAUUUGUCUAUCCCAGACUCGGUGCCGGAUUCCCACGACCUGGAAGUAUGGCUUCAUGUCUAUUAAGGAAACUCAUCUGUUUCUCUUUUAUAAGAUUGACUUAAAUGUUCAUGGAUUUUUAUUUCUUUAUAUAUUUAAAAAAUAAGUUAUUGAGCUUCUAAAAAAAUCUGAGUGAAGUUUUGUUUGGAAUCGCACUGAAUUUAUGUAGCACUUUGGUGAUAACCGACACCAACAUAACAGUAUAUUGUCUUUUUGGCAGCAAUGUUUUAAAAAACUCCUUGGGUUUUCUAGGUAGGUGAUCAUUCAGUGUUGGCUUUUAUCUCUUCCUCUUUAAUUCUUAUGCUCUUUGUUUUCUUUUCCUUGUUCUGUUGCCCAGAACCUCUGACAUUAUCUAGUACUAAUAAAAAUGGGCAUUCUUAUCUCGUUGUCUUAACAAGAAAAGUGUUCACAUUUUUUUCAUUGGAAAUGUAAGAUUGAAAGUGUUUGGCACAAAUCUUUGUCAAGUUAAGAAAACUCUCUUCUCUCAGUUUGUACACAUAUGGAGCAUUACUAAAUACAUUUUCUGUAUCCACUGAGUCACGUUUCUUCUUCUCUUUCUUCUCCUCUUCCUCCUUCUUUUUCUUCCUCCUGCCCCUUCUCCUCCUCCUCCUCCUCCCUUUCUCCUCCUCCUCCUCCUCCCCUUCUUCUUCUAUGUAUUAUUGUUCUGAGUCACUGCCUG
rnacentral:lncRNA from 1 species